AAAAGGUGUGAGGCGAAUCCAGUCAGCACAAGCAGGGCCUUCCUGUCACACCGAGAGAGUUGAGCACCUCCAGGGGACAGACAGUGAUAGCUAUCAUCACACCGUGCCAUCCACUCCACAUCCUUCAGGUUUUGAGAAGAACGUACUACGGUCCCUCAGAAUGAUC